rnacentral:rRNA from 1 species
GACGAACGCUGGCGGCGUGGAUUAGGCAUGCAAGUCGAACGGUAGGAUCCUUUCGGGGAUCUGAGAGUGGCGAACGGGUGAGUAACACGUAGGUGAUCUACCCUCAAGACGGGGACAACCCAGGGAAACUUGGGCUAAUACCGGAUGUGAGCUAUCGCGAGAUAGUUUGAAAGGUGGCUUCGGCUGCCGCUUGAGGAUGAGCCUGCGUCCUAUUAGCUAGUUGGUGAGGUAACGGCUCACCGAGGCAGUGAUAGGUAGGCGGCCUUAACGGGUGGUCGCCCACACUGGGAUUGAGAUACGGCCCAGACUCCUACGGGAGGCAGCAGUCGAGAAUAGUCUACAAUGGUCGAAAGACUGAUAGUGCGACGCCGCGUGAACGAAGAAGCCCUUCGGGUGUAAAGUUCUUUUAUAUGUGAGCAGUGACACCCAUAUUAAUAGUAUGGGUGUAGAGAUAUUAGCAUAUGAAUAAGCAACGGCUAACUCCGUGCCAGCAGCCG